UUGAGUUAAGAUACGAAAGAAUCGAUCUCUCCUCUUUAUUCUUUUUCGGCUUCACCGCCACCCCCUCUGGCCUCUCUCACCAUCCCCUUGCCACCGCCACCAUCCCCAUCUGCCGCCACCGCCACCACCACCAUCUCUAUCCCACCACCGCAACCACCACAACCAUCUUCAUAUCUUCUAUCAACCACAUCUAAAAUUACAGAGAGAAGUAUUUUCUUCGUCGGGAAUCAAUCUCAGAUUCAGAAAUCAAGCUUCAUGAUCACUCAUCAUAACAGUGAUUUCUAAGUAAAUUGGGAUUAUUAAUAUGUUCAGUUUAAGUGUUUGGUAAAUGUUAUUUUUGUGGUGGUUGUGGUGGUGGCUUUUAUUGUAGUAGCAAGGGUGGUGGAGGCGUUGAUAUAACAACAGUUAAUGUUGUUGUUGUUGUUGUGGAGGUAGUGGUGGUGGAUGUUGUAGUACUAGUGUUGGUAGUUGCUCUUGUGGUGGUGGUGGGUGUUGCAGUGGAGGUGAUGGUGGUGGAUUUUGAUAUAUUAGUGAGGAUGGUGGUGUUGUUGCAUAGGUGGUGGUGGUUGCUGUGUUUACAAUACAGGCACAUAAAGGUGCUACUGCUAGUAUGGAAAGUGACAAGAAAAAAUGCUAGGAAAGAUAUUGAGGAUGGGAAAGUUGUAUAGUCCAGCUGCUGUGGACAAAGUGUCCCUAUUUUAGUUGCAGUGCUCUGUUCAUCCGCAAGGCGACGUAUGUUCAAAGGCUAUUCGGCUGGUAAGCAAAUAUAUUAUUAAAACACACCAAUAAGUUGUUGGGUAGUUACGAAUUGUAGGUUCAGAUUUUUUAUAGUUAUUUCAUUGAUUGUAUGAAGGGUGUAUUUAUACAAAAAUUGCUUUUUUUUCUUUCAUUAUGGCUAUUGUUAAUACAUUUGUACUGCUGGAGUGUGUUAGAAGCGAGAUUAGAAUCCUGAACAUAGUUCUUGCUUACUUUAACUUUAUUACCGAAUUUCUUUUAGUGCAGUUGAUAUAUAUUAGAGUGACAUGAUUUUAUUUCUUGAA